rnacentral:rRNA from 1 species
UACAGAGGGUGCAAGCGUUAAUCGGAUUUACUGGGCGUAAAGCGUGUGUAGGUGGCCGCGUAAGUCGAUUGUGAAAGCCCUGGGCUUAACCCGGGAAUUGCAGUCGAUACUGCGUGGCUCGAGUUCGGUAGAGGACGGCAGAAUUCCCGGUGUAGCGGUGAAAUGCGUAGAUAUCGGGAGGAAUACCGAUGGCGAAGGCAACCGUCUGGGCCUGAACUGACACUGUGACACGAAAGCGUGGGUAGCAAACAGG